rnacentral:rRNA from 1 species
CCCUUAGAUGUUCUGGGCUGCACCCGUGCUACACUGGCAGGUUCAGCGAGCUUCAUGCCCUGAUCUGAAAGGAAUGGGAAAUCUUUUCAAAACCUGCCGUGCUUGGGAUAGAUGUUUGCAAUUAUUCAUCUUCAACGAGGAUUGCCUUGUAAGCGCACGUCAUCAGCGUGCAUUGAAUACGACCCUGUAUUCUGUACACACCGCCCGUCGCUCCUACCGAUUGAAGUUUUCGGUGAGUUGACAGGAGGAUUUUUUUGAAACUGGUUCGCCAGUGGAUUUUAGAUACAAAUGCCAACGAAUCGAGGGCUUUAGAGGAAGGAGAAGUCGUAACA